rnacentral:rRNA from 1 species
UACAGAGGUGGCAAGCGUUGUUCGGAAUUACUGGGCGUAAAGCGCGUGUAGGCGGCUCUUCAAGUCAGGCGUGAAAGCCCCGGGCUCAACUCGGGAACUGCGCUUGAUACUGUCGAGCUAGAGUGUGGAAGGGGCGAUUGGAAUUCCGUGUGUAGCGGUGAAAUGCGUAGAUAUACGGAGGAACACCAGAGGCGAAGGCGGAUCGCUGGGCCAACACUGACGCUGAGACGCGAAAGCGAGGGUAGCAAACGGG